rnacentral:siRNA from 1 species
UGUGAUGUUUCUUGUGUGCUC